rnacentral:rRNA from 1 species
GACGAACGCUGGCGGCGUGCCUAAUACAUGCAAGUUGAGCGCUGAAGGUUGGUACUUGUACCAACUGGAUGAGCAGCGAACGGGUGAGUAACGCGUGGGGAAUCUGCCUUUGAGCGGGGGACAACAUUUGGAAACGAAUGCUAAUACCGCAUAAAAACUUUAAACACAAGUUUUAAGUUUGAAAGAUGCAAUUGCAUCACUCAAAGAUGAUCCCGCGUUGUAUUAGCUAGUUGGUGAGGUAAAGGCUCACCAAGGCGAUGAUACAUAGCCGACCUGAGAGGGGGAUCGGCCACAUUGGGACUGAGACACGGCCCAAACGCCUACGGGAGGCAGCAGUAGGGAAUCUUAGGCAAUGGACGAAAGUCUGACCGAGCAACGCCGCGUGAGGGAAGAAGGGUGUCGGAUCGUAAAACUCUGUUGGUAGAGAAGAACGUUGGUGGGAGUGGAAAGCUCAUCAAGUGACGGUAACUACCCAGAAAGGGACGGCUAACUACGUG